AUGGGGUUAGUUUAAUUAAAAUGAUAAUUUGUCGUGUUAUAGAUACUUUUUGGGUACCCUAUG
rnacentral:tRNA from 1 species